GCUUUGGGUCUUUUUGACUUCUCGUAUUGGUUAUCAGCUUCUCCGAUGGAGAAUCUGGCUGACUCCGCCGUAUCCCAGACCUCCACCGCCGCCGGGCAGCAGCCGCAGAUGGCUGAUACCACCCCUUCACCGGCGUCACCACCGUCAGCCUCGAAUCAAACCUCAUCCGAAGAAAAAGACUCAAAAUCUCCGGAUUCACAGCUCGAAACCCUCUGCAAGACGAUGUGCGGCAAGGGACUUCGAAGUUACAUAUUAUCGAAACUCCCAGAGAAAAACACACUGCGCGAAGAACUCACCAAGGCAUUGAAACUUGCACCCAAUGCAGCAAAGCUUGUACUUAGCUGUAUGGGAGACUUCUUUGCUAAAAGGGGCAAAGCUUUUGAUAAGGAUGCUCGGAUGAUUGCCACAAGGGAAGCAUCUGCAUUGGUUUUGGAGUGUUUCUUGUUGAUAGGUUUCGAUGUAAUUGAUGAAGGGGUAAAGGAAGAAGCUGCACAAGCAGCAGUGAUAUGGAGAAGAAGGUUUGUUGAUGAACGAGGUAUACGAAAGGCUAGUACAAUGGAUGCUCGGGGAUUGCUAUUGCUUAUUGGGUGUUUUGGGAUUCCCCAAAUUUUUUACAAUGAGGACAUUAGGGACUUGAUUCGAGUGAGUAAUAUCAGGGAGAUAUCUACUGCACUCAGGAGAUCAAAUGUGCUUAUGGAAAAGAUUCCAGAUAUAAUAGCGGGCAUGGUGAAGAAUAAGAUGGAAGUUGAUGCUGUAGAUGUUGCUUAUACUUUUGGAGUUGAGGAAAAAUGUAGCCCUUGCGAAAUUUUGUCAUCAUUUUUAGAAGAACUAAGAGAAUCGCUGAAGAAAAAGAAAUGCCAAUCACAUGGUUCACAUGCUGUUGUGAAUGAAGCAAACAAGAGGGAAUUGUCUACUAUGAAAUCUGUCAUCGAAUGUUUGGAAGCCCACAACAUUGAUCCCUCAAAGCUUAUUCCACAAUUCCGUAUCAGUGACAGAAUUAUGAGCUUGGAGGAAAAAAUUGCUAGGAAUGAUCAAAGAAGAGAGAAGAUGGUGCAAAAUCGGAAAUUUGAAGAAACUGGGUUAUCUAGAAGGUUCGAAGAGAGACGAGCAAAACGCGCCUGCAUACUAGAUUCAGAGCAUCAUAGACCUGUAAAUUACAUCAGUAGCCAGAGACCCUUGUUAGCAGGUCUGCCUCCUAGCCACAUUUAUGGUUAUUCUGUGUCACCAUCAGCAUUGCCUAUUCAUGACAUUGUUCCUGGCUCACCAGCAGCAAGUUGGGGAGGUAUGGUUAUGGGUGGAGUUAGUUCAUGUAUCAUAAGAAGCAGAAAUGACGCUCUACAAGCUGGCGCAUAUGGUGGAUUUCGUGAGAGGAUACCAAUUGAACAUAAAACUGGGCAAAUAAGAAGUUACAAUAAUCAGUUAUAUGAAUGGCAAGAGAAUGCAUCCAUGCAUGAAAGGGAGGUUUCUCAUAACUACGGUUACGGGUCAUCACCAUCGUGGCAAGGCUCUAUGGAGUUGCCAAACCCUGUUCCUGUUGGUCCUGGUUACCAGACCGCUGCUUCUGAUCCUUAUCAGUUGGCUAGUACUGUUCAAAGUUCCCCAUAUCAUAACAGAGGCGUUGUUCCCUCUGUUAACCAUUAUUCAUCCUACUUGUACCCAGGGACAUAUUAUCCCCAGGGCAUGCAGUAAUAUGUAGUUUCAGGUUUCUCUUGUAGAAAUGCUUCGAAGUUGAUAACUUUUGUGGGAAGCAUCAUGAUUCAUGGGCAAGUAAUCUGAUAAACAACCUGGAUAUGAG
rnacentral:misc_RNA from 1 species